AUUGAACGCUGGCGGCAUGCUUUACACAUGCAAGUCGAACGGGCUUAGGGGCUUGCUCCUAAGUUAGUGGCGAACGGGUGAGUAAUACAUCGGAACGUACCGUGUAGUGGGGGAUAACGUAGCGAAAGUUACGCUAAUACCGCAUACGAUCUACGGAUGAAAGUGGGGGACCUUCGGGCCUCACGCUAUACGAGCGGCCGAUGUCUGAUUAGCUAGUUGGUGAGGUAAAGGCUCACCAAGGCAACGAUCAGUAGCGGGUCUGAGAGGAUGAUCCGCCACACUGGGACUGAGACACGGCCCAGACUCCUACGGGAGGCAGCAGUGGGGAAUUUUGGACAAUGGGCGAAAGCCUGAUCCAGCCAUGCCGCGUGUCUGAAGAAGGCCUUCGGGUUGGUUAAAGGACGUUUUAGUUC
rnacentral:rRNA from 1 species